rnacentral:lncRNA from 1 species
GACAACCCUGGAAAAUAUUGACAAGGCAAAGCAUUCCAACUCAUUCUGAGCUCUGCAUAGAGAAGAGAGGGUUUUCACUUGGAGCCAAGAGUCCUCUGAUUCCUGGAACAAUGUUUUUCAUAGAUGUUGUCAGACCAAAUAUUCAUAAUCUCUAAACUACAUGGAAUUAAAAGCAUUCAAAAUAUAGAGUCCUAACAAUGGAGUUCUAAAUCAUGAAGGAAAACGAGGUUCAUAUUACACUCCGAAUUUGUUCCACUAACCUGAAGUCACUUCCACAUGAACACAACCACAUGAAAAACAUCCCAGUCUUGGAUGAAGACCUAGUUACAUGCAGAAACCUAGAAUCAGAGAAGUUCCGGAUUAGAAAAGGUCUAGAUGAAAAAGUCCCUUGGAAUAGAGCAAAGAAAGCCAUGAUUAGCAAUUUAAGCAUCUAGUAUACCCUUUACAGAAUGUGCCCAACUGUGUGAAACACUUUGUAAUAAAAUUUUAGAUAAAAAUUCA